rnacentral:piRNA from 1 species
UAUUUGGAAUAUUUUCUGAUUUGGUCCCAGC